CCAGACUCAGAACAGGGCUCCUUGCUAUCCAGGCUGACUUGGAGGGGAUUCGAGUGGGCUGAGUGGCCUGAACAUGCCUUCGGCGGCUGCUUCUUGUGCUCCCCAUCUAGGGAAGAGGGAAGCCACACAGAAUUUCUGACAGACAAUGACUGAGUUUCUGCUCCAACUCUGCUAGGAAUGGAGAAUUCACUACUUCAAAAGGGAAGAUUUACUUUACUUUUCAGGAGCCUGGGGGUACUACUACCACCCUGAGAUUAAUCCAGUUUCAUGAACUGAAAUCAUUUGAAGGGUCAUAUGGAGGAUGGGCCACGUGAAGACAGAGGCAGAGAUUGGAGAGAUGUGGCUGUGUGCCAAGAACUUGAAGGAUUGCUAGCAACCCUCAGCAGCCAGGAGAAAGGCAUGAGGUGGACUCUCCUCAGAGCCUCUAGACCGAACCAAGCCUACUUUACCCUGAUUUGGGGCUAUGGCCUUCUGAGCUGCAAGAGUGUGAAUUUCUGUUGUUUUAAUCUAAGUUUGUGAUAAUUUUUAUGGAAGCCACAGGAAACUAAUACGGGGUGGUGUGAUCUAAUUCAUGUGAUGGAAGGUCACUCUGGAGGCUGUCUGAAGAUAAACUCUAGGGGGCCAAGACUAAUGGUGGCAUUGAGGCCUGUUUGGAUGGGGUGCAGGGGUCCAGGUCACAGAUCACGUCACUAGAACUAGGGUGGUGACUGGGCAGAUGAUGAGAAGCUCUCAGUUUCAGGAUAUAUUUGGGAAACCCUACAGGCUCUACUCUUGGAUUAGAUGUUGAGGGAGGCCUGUGAGAUGAGGAAGAGGGGUUAAAUGUGACCCUUGGGUUUGCGGUUUAUGCAACUGGUAUGAUUUAUUGAGAGGAAGAGGCUCAGGGAGCUGAGCUGGGAUUGAGGUCUAUGCUUUUAUCAUGCUGAGUUUAAGAUACCUAUUUGAAUCCUAAGUAGAGACGCUUAGCUAAGCAUUUAGCCUUCAUAGUCUAGGGCUUUAGGGAGAAGUAGGCACAGUAUACAAUCUGAAAGGCAUCAGCAUAUAGGUGAUAUUUAAAAUCUUGGGACUAGGGAGAAUGGAUACUGAAGAGAGAAGAGCUGAUGUCAGAACUUUGGGAGAGUCAGAGAAAAUUUAGAGAUGUGGCAGAGGCAAAGGAGCCUGGAAAAGCGUGGAGAGGGGUGUAAGAGGAACACCAGGCAGAGGUGGGAUUGCAGAAGUCACCUAAGAGAGUGUUUCUAGAAGGGAGGGAUCAGCCCCAAGUGCUGCUGAGGGCUUGAGCAAGAUGAACACUCAGGUGACUGUUACCUGAGUUUGAGGUAGGUCUUCGGUGACCUAUUUCAGGAAGGAGGUGGAGGUGAAAGUUUGCUGGGGGUGCCAGGAGGUAGUGAGGGUGAGUCCAGAAAACUCUUUGGAGAAAUUUGUCUCUGAAAGGAAGCUUGGAUGUGUGGUUUGCUGGAGGGGCUGCAGAAUCAAGGGAGAAAAGGAUUAAUGGGGGAGGGGGUGUGUCCUUGAGGAGAUGGGGAGGAUUCAGGGAAUGAGUGUGGUCUUGGCCUUUGCAGCUCAGGGGCAAUUUUUCUGUUGUGUGAGGUAAGGGGCCUGUGGGCAGGGCUGCUGAUGGGCUGGUGGAGGGAGCUGGUUGCUGGUAGACAGGGUAGGGAAGUUGAGCUCAGGACCAAUGAUGAGGGCUGCCAUCCCUGCUGCAGGACCUUUGCAGGGGAGACACCCCAGUCUCAGAGGUGGUUUGUCCAAUCCAAGUGGCAGGGGCCCAGGAUUCUGUGUCAAACAAUGAACUAAAAAAAGGUAUCUCCUCUCCCUUGAGGGUCAGGAACCACUGCUUCCUUUCUUCCCUCCACCCUCCUUCCCCUCCCCAUCCACUCUCAGUGAUUCUGAGGGGUCAGAGCAUUUUUCUGUUAAACCCUUUAAAUACCAAGGGUCUGAUUAUAUUCCCUGUUUCUAGAAUAAUCUUGUUCCUACUUUUCAAAUAAAGCCAAUGAAGUCAUUCCUCAUGAGUCCCCUUUGUCUGGGAGCAUAGGAACCUCUCUGCACCUGUCCUUUCCAGUAGCUCCUUUGGACAUCCUUAGGGGCCCUCACUCAUUUUCUUGCCACAGCUGUCUUACAGGGCUUCUCUCAUGGAGCUGGGUUUCUGACACUUCCCUCCACAAGGGGAAAGUCUCCGUAAAUUAUUCUUAGCAAAUGAAUACAUAAUAUGGUUUGGUUUGCUGUCUUUUAUCUCUGACGGCAGUUUUUUAAGAGUCUUCCACAGACCACUAGUCCCGUGAAAUAUUCUGUCCCCAAAAGAAUUUUAUGGUCAAACCAAUUUUGGAUAUCUUGCGUGUUAAAGGCUCAGAGAACCCUGCAGUUAAAAACUUAACUAUGUUUUAUCCCAUAUUUCUCAAACAUAUUUGACCAUUCAGUGUGUUGCAGAACACAUUUUGGGAAAUUUCUACCUCUACUGCACUCAGUGUACCAGGAAAAAGAGUCAUUCCUGCUUACCAACUGUAUCUGAUGGAAACAUUAAAAAAUACUUUUCGGUUAUUGUACAAAUCAUUUGUAGAAGAGUGAAAAAUUAGGAACUCAGAUAGAAAUUUAGAACUAGAACUGAACACAGAAAGUCCAAAUUUUUCUUCCAGUUUUCCUGAUUUUGGGCCUAUACAUAUAUGAAGUGAGCAACACCCUUUGGAUGCAACUGCUCAUCAGCUGACAUGCAUGAUUCUGCAACAGCUGUCUUGUAAAUACUGACUCAGACUUCCAAUCUCUAAUAAGUUCCAGUUAUCAUUGCUUCUUCUUCUUCUUCUGCACUUGUAUUGUUAAAAACACAAGAAAAAAAUCAAAGGCUUUGAUAAUUUUGAUGAAGGGCAGAUGGCCAUAUUCUUUCCUCCCUUAUUGCAAAGUAUUUUCAUUUUUAGAUUAUAAACCAAUGAACUUGGUCAGCCCAGCAAGUUUCUGUUUCCUCCCAGUCACUUUUCUGUACCCACCUGCCUUUAAUAUCUGUCUACUCAAGUAGAUUCCCAGGGCAUCAACACCUUAAAAGAUGAAGGAACACUGCCAGACAGCCACUCAACAAUGGUCCAGGAUCUCGUGACAAAAUGUGAGCUGAAGUCUUCCUGGUGGAAUGACUGAAGGAGAACACCAUAUUUCCCUUUGGUCCAUAGAAAUAUAUCAUGUGCCAUCAAAUUUUGGAUUUGAGAAAAUUUGCUGAGGAUAUUUAUAUCUGAAGACUUGGCUUCUGAGAUUUCAUUUGUACGAUCAAGUUCACCAUUGCAAUUAGAGCUGAGUUCUGUUGUCUCUGCCUUCAUCUUCUGAUUCAUCCAAGAAUUAUGAAACAUCUUCCUUUACUUUUUCUCUUUGCCAUUAAAGACAGAAACUAAAAAAUUAUGAAUCUUCAACUGUGUUCAGUACAAGCUACAAAGAUGGUGUCUACAGUCUUCUUUUAUGCCUCCUUAAAGGUGAUGCCAUGCUCUUGCCAAUGCAAUAGGAAAAUGGAUGAUGCAAUUGUGAUGAAUUAUUUCAGGAUUACACCAUUAUUCUAGGUCAUUUCAUCAUCCUUCUCCUUUGUUUUUAGUAUUCUUCAGAAUAAUUCUUGAGUAAUGAUGAAUUAGCAGAUAUGUUUCACGACAUGGGAAAAAUAAGAAUCCUAAGAUCCCCAACAGUAACUUAAUGCAUAAGAGAGUCCAAUGGAUGCAUAUGGUAAUUACAAUAUAGAUUGAGUUUCAUUCCUUUAAGAAAAAUAAGCAAUUACUUCUUUUUUCUUUGGAAAACCUCUAAUAAUAAAGAAUAAAAGUCAAGUAAUAUCAAUCUUUACAAGUAGAUAAA